rnacentral:misc_RNA from 1 species
CGAGCGGAUGAAGGUAGCUUGCUACNNAUUCAGCGGCGGACGGGUGAGUAAUGCUUAGGAAUCUGCCUAUUAGUGGGGGACAACGUUCCGAAAGGAGCGCUAAUACCGCAUACGUCCUACGGGAGAAAGCAGGGGACCUUUGGGCCUUGCGCUAAUAGAUGAGCCUAAGUCGGAUUAGCUAGUUGGUAGGGUAAAGGCCUACCAAGGCGACGAUCUGUAGCGGGUCUGAGAGGAUGAUCCGCCACACUGGGACUGAGACACGGCCCAGACUCCUACGGGAGGCAGCAGUGGGGAAUAUUGGACAAUGGGGGGAACCCUGAUCCAGCCAUGCCGCGUGUGUGAAGAAGGCCUUUUGGUUGUAAAGCACUUUAAGCGAGGAGGAGGCUACCUAGAUUAAUACUUUAGGAUAGUGGACGUUACUCGCAGAAUAAGCACCGGCUAACUCUGUGCCAGCAGCCGCGGUAAUACAGAGGGUGCGAGCGUUAAUCGGAUUUACUGGGCGUAAAGCGUGCGUAGGCGGCCAAUUAAGUCAAAUGUGAAAUCCCCGAGCUUAACUUGGGAAUUGCAUUCGAUACUGGUUGGCUAGAGUAUGGGAGAGGAUGGUAGAAUUCCAGGUGUAGCGGUGAAAUGCGUAGAGAUCUGGAGGAAUACCGAUGGCGAAGGCAGCCAUCUGGCCUAAUACUGACGCUGAGGUACGAAAGCAUGGGGAGCAAACAGGAUUAGAUACCCUGGUAGUCCAUGCCGUAAACGAUGUCUACUAGCCGUUGGGGCCCUUGAGGCUUUAGUGGCGCAGCUAACGCGAUAAGUAGACCGCCUGGGGAGUACGGNNGCAAGACUAAAACUCAAAUGAAUUGACGGGGGCCCGCACAAGCGGUGGAGCAUGUGGUUUAAUUCGAUGCAACGCGAAGAACCUUACCUGGCCUUGNNAUACAG